rnacentral:lncRNA from 1 species
CAAACUCAUGCUGAAGAAACGUUUUAAAACCUAGUUAUAAAUGCACGCUUCACGGAAGCUCGAAAAUGGUAGUAUGAACUCAAGUUAAGAUGUUGUACACUCCAAUUCCAUUACUGUAGAGAAAGAAAGCGAAUGAGGUUGCAAGUAUGGUGUUGGUUGGUGAUGUCAAAAAUAAAAUUGCUAUCUUGGUUGACGACAUGGCAGAUACGUGUGGAACACUUGGAUUGGCAUGUCAGAA